UACGUAGGUGGCAAGCGUUGUCCGGAUUUACUGGGUGUAAAGGGCGUGUAGGCGGGAAGACAGGUCAGAUGUGAAAUGUCGGGGCUCAACCCCGGAACUGCAUUUGAAACCGUUUUUCUUGAGUAUCGGAGAGGCAGGCGGAAUUCCUAGUGUAGCGGUGAAAUGCGUAGAUAUUAGGAGGAACACCAGUGGCGAAGGCGGCCUGCUGGACGACAACUGACGCUGAGGCGCGAAAGCGUGGGGAGCAAAC
rnacentral:rRNA from 1 species